rnacentral:lncRNA from 1 species
GAGCCAAAUUCACCUGAGUGCAUCCUUGCCUAACACACACUACACAUAUAUAGCUAAUAUACGGGCGCCCAUACAACAAGCCAAACAAUGGCGGUCCUAUUUGGAUGCUCAGGGAGCCCUACACUAAUGAUUUGAGCUAUUGGAUAUAAUCUACUAUCUCCAAAUUGCUUACUAUUAUCAAAAAUUAUAACAUACUAUGCAUAUAGUAUUUAAAAAAUAUGCAUUGUAUGUUUUAUUUAAACUAUCCAUUUUUGACUUUUUCUUUUGAGCCGAGCUCUCUUAAGCAGACUUGAAAACUACUACAGUGGUACACCCCUCAGAGAUAUAGGGACCACCAUGCUUGUCCACUUUCUUGAUAAAGGACUCGAUGCAUUUUCUCUUCCUUGCCAUGGAGACUGAGACAUAUCAAAAAGAUCUAUGACUAAAAAGAGAUUGGGAUCAUCCUGUGGUUACUGGAUACAUAAACGAUGAAUAAGCUAUAGAUCUCAAAAUCAUAUAAUCUUUUUAGUAGUAAGAAAUUUAGAGAUGGUAGAUCACAUCUAAUAGCUCGGACAAGAUCUGCUGAAUUGAUACCGGGGUCGGUAUCUGCCAGCGACUGGUUCAGUAUGAUAUGGAUCUAUACCAUGCCGUUUCGAGAUGUACUGGCACAGGAAGAGGGAGGAGGGGAGGAAUAAGGAGAGAGAGGAAGAGAGAAGGGAAGGGAGGGAGGGAGAAAGAGAGAAAGAUGAGGGAUACCGGUGAAGACAGGUAGGCCACGAGGAAGGAGGUGAAGAUGAUGAGCCUUCUGGCGACGGCGAUCUAGGGUUUCGCUCCAAUUCUACUUUACUUCAAGGUUUACGAGAGGAAUAGAUAGUGGGG